rnacentral:rRNA from 1 species
UUUUUAACGAGAGUUUGAUCCUGGCUCAGGAUGAACGCUGGCGGCGUGCUUAACACAUGCAAGUCGAGCGAAGCGCUUUGGAAAGAUUCUUCGGAUGAUUUCCUUUGUGACUGAGCGGCGGACGGGUGAGUAACGCGUGGGUAACCUGCCUCAUACAG